UUUUUUUAUAUAGAUGAAUGUUAAAUGCUUUUAUGAAGGUUUACCUAAGUCAAAACUUAAUCAUGCUCCUGUAAAGUUUCAAGUCCAAAAUCCAGAAAUUUCAGAUGAUAGUGAUUUGUUUACAGACUCUGAUGAAGAAAUAAAUCCAGAAAUUGUAGAAUGUGGCGAUUUAUAUAGUGAAACUGAUGAAGAAAUUAUAUUAACUGAUACAGAAGAUGAAGUCUGAGAUAAUCAAUCUGAUAAAAAUGAUUUUCAGCUAACUCAGCAUAAAAAAACUAGCAAAAAAACAUUGAAGUCAGAUUUGGUAUGGAAGAAAGAGAAUCCAGAGGAUAUUCUGAAAAAAACUCUUCAAUAUCAGAAUGAUAAUAAAAUAAACGAUGAUUUAGACAUUGUUGAACCUAUUCAGUAUGUAAAACGUUUUUUAAGUGACCAAAUGUUGCAAUUAAAUUGUCGAUGAAUCUAAUAAAUAUGCUAUUCAAAAGAAUCCUAUCAAACCACUUCAGCUCGAUAAAAAUGAACUUGAGCAGUUUAUCGGAAUUUUAUAUGCUAUGAGCAUUGUUCAAAUGCCAUCGACCAGAAUGUAUUGGAGUAAGGAGUUAUACUUUGAAUAAAUUGGAGAAGUUAUGACUGUCAACAGAUUUGAACAAAUCAAGUUAGUUUUUCAUUGCAAUGAUAACAAUAAAUUUUACAAUAAUCAUGGAGAUUAGUUAUACAAGGUGCGACCUAUCAUUAAUAUGUUAAAAGACUCCUUUUCAAAACUGAAACAUGAAGAAAUGUUAUGCCUUGAUGAACAGGUUGUUCCUUAUAAAGGUAAAUCAUCUAUUAAACAGUACAACCCAAUGAAACACAAAAAAUGGGGAUUUAAGAUUUAUGUUUUAUCAGGAGUAGAUGGUCUUGUACACAAUUUUCAAACCUUUUGUUUUGUAAAUCGAAUCUUUUGUCUUGCAGAUCGACUUUUUUGUCUUGUAGAUCGAAUCUUUUGUUUUGUAGAUCGAAUCUUUUGUCUUGUAGAUCGAAUCUUUUGUCUUGUAGAUCGAAUCUUUUUGUUUGUAGAUUGAAUCUUUAUGCAAAAUUUCUACUUAAAUAGUGUUUUCUCAAAAAUUAUAUAAGAUAGUGCACUAUCUUAUAUGGUUUUAAAUUUAUAUGGUUAAAAAUUUAAGAUCACUAGUGAUCUUAAUUUUUCAAAAGAUAUGCUUUUCUCAUAUAUAUGUGUAAAAUAAAAAAUUUUCAGCAAUAUCUGAGAUACCCCGUGUGUGACCUGUGCUCCACUUGGAAUGGAAUGACCACAAAAGAAAACGAGAAUAAGAAGGAACGCAUUGUAAAGACAGAAUAUAAAUAUAAAACAAAUAUAGCAACACAUUUUGAACGUGUAUCUUUAUUUUUCGAUAAUUAUAUUCAAGAUGAUUAAUGAUUA